rnacentral:rRNA from 1 species
UACGUAGGGUGCGAGCGUUGUCCGGAAUUACUGGGCGUAAAGAGCUCGUAGGUGGUUUGUCGCGUUGUUCGUGAAAUUCCCUGGCUUAACUGGGGGCGUGCGGGCGAUACGGGCAGACUGGAGUACUGCAGGGGAGAUUGGAAUUCCUGGUGUAGCGGUGGAAUGCGCAGAUAUCAGGAGGAACACCGGUGGCGAAGGCGGGUCUCUGGGCAGUAACUGACGCUGAGGAGCGAAAGCGUGGGGAGCGAACAGG